rnacentral:rRNA from 1 species
GAAUUUUCCACAAUGGACGAAAGUCUGAUGGAGCAACGCCGCGUGCAGGAUGAAUGCCUUAGGGUUGUAAACUGCUUUUAUUAGUGACGAAUAUGACGGUAACUAAUGAAUAAGGACCUGCUAACUACGUGCCAGCAGCCGCGGUCAUACGUAGGGUCCAAGCGUUAUCCGGAAUUACUGGGCGUAAAGAGUUGCGUAGGUGGCAUAGUAAGUAGAUAGUGAAAGCGUGUGGCUCAACCAUACAUCCAUUAUCUAAACUGCUAAGCUAGAAGAUGAGAGAGGUAGAUGGAAUUCCUGAUGUAGGGGUAAUAUCCGUAGAUAUCAGGAGGAACACCGAUGGCGUAAGCAGUCUACUGGCUCAUUCUUGACACUAAGGCACGAAAGCGUGGGUAGCAAACAGG